rnacentral:rRNA from 1 species
GCCUACGGCCAUACCACGUUGAACACACCGGUUCUCGUCCGAUCACCGAAGUCAAGCAACGUCGGGCCCGGUUAGUACUUGGAUGGGUGACCGCCUGGGAACACCGGGUGUUGUAGGCA